ACCCCAUUGCCCUGCCCGUAGCACCCCAUUGCCCUGCCCAGGAAACAGCUCCCUGAGGCCCUGGUCAUCCCACCCAUGGACUGGGGACUGCGGCGUGGCAUGACCCGUGUGGGGAAGCAUCACGCCAUGGCUCAAACAGGGAAGCAUCCUGGAAGAAAGCUAAAACUAGAAAUCUAUACGAAUCUGAAAAUACAUCACUGUAACACAAAUGCAGGACAUGUUUAGAGUUGGCUCUUGGAGUUAUCACCGUGAGCCAUCUCCCCAGCACCGAGGCACUAAUCUAAUGGAGAUCACCACCGAAGCAAAACCCUUCAGGUUGGAGGGGGACGAGGCAUGGUGCGAGCGAUGAGGCUCCCUGUCACAGCAAGGUGACCCCUCUCUUCCUGGGAAGAGGCCCAGCAGAACGGGGCAGCCGGGUGACAUCAUCGCAUCUCCAGCGAGGACGCGGUGAUGUCAAAACGAAAGCGAGGAGGAGGAGGAGGAGGAGGAGGAGCAGAGCCGCAGGUUCAAGCAGAACUAUGUAAAACAAGCUACAGAUGCUGCUGCAG